CGGGACGUAGCUCAGCUUGGUAGAGCGCCUGCUUUGGGAGCAGGAAGUCGUCAGUUCGAAUCUGGCCGUCCCGACCA
rnacentral:tRNA from 1 species